AUGUUCUUUUCUCUAUAUCAAAAACCCUUUUCAUCAAAUUUCAGAGGGACAGAGAGAUGGUGAAAGAAGGGAGAUUGAGGUUGAGGCGAAUUGCGAUGGAGGAGGUGGAGCCAUUGGAGUUCAUAGAAGAGAUGACGAGUCAUGUAGAUGAGGUGCAGCAGAUGGUGCUGGACGACAUCCUUUCCACCAACGCCAACGCUGAGUAUAGACAGGAAAACCUUCAAGUCCAAGCUGCCAAACACCCAUUUUCUCUGCUCAACCCAUCUCAGAGUUACUAAUCAGCUCCAAAACUUCAGGCAGUGGGCAGAAAAUGAUCCCAGUGAUUGCCAACCAUCAUGAAGGGAUUUAUACAAUCUUCAGAUGGCUCAUUCCCGCUGUCAUGAACAAGAAUAUUUCAGGAUUAGAUAAAGGAAAAGUCCUGUUCUUAUUCUCUACUAAAACAGAGGCCAAGAGUCCCGCUGGAAUUAUCAUGUGGACUGUACUUACAAGCUACUAUAGAAGUCCUCAAUUUCUUCGAAACACUAUGCUAACAUCAAGUACACUAUGCUAACAUCCUACAAAGCUUGUAUGCUCAAAUGCUUGCUGGCCUGGCUGACUGGCUUGCCAUCUCUCAGAUAGGUUCAACUUUUGCACCAAGCUUUCUCCAGGCUAUCCACUACCUCAAGCGUCAUUAUCAGGAACUUGCAGCAGAUAUUGAGCGUGGGACAGUGAAUCCAAAAGUCACUGACACAGCAAUUAGAGCAGCAUUAGGAAACGCUCUGACACCUGACCCAGAAAAUGCAGUACACAUAAGGAAGUAAUGUUCAAGUGGGAAUUUUCGGGGUAUCAUAAGGAGGAUUUGGCCAAAUACAAAAUUCCUGGAUCUGAUAGUGACAGGACCAAUGGCACGGUAUAUUCCAAGCUUGAACUUCUACAGUGGGGAUUUGCCUUUGGCCAGCACUCUCUAUGGAUCAUCAGUGCUUUUUUGGGUUAAACUUGUACCCUUUUACUAAGCCUGAGGACAUUGCCUAUACCAUUAUGCCUAACAUGGCCUACUUUGAGUUUUUGCCUGUCAAGCCUGGAGAUGAUAUUGGCCGGAUAAGGGCAAUGCAAGUGGUGGACCCUGUGGAUUUGGCUCACGUGGAGGACGGAAAAGAGUAUGAGCUCGUGGCGAUCACUUGCUUUGGUAAAAGUUUAUAUAGCUUUCUUCAGUCACAUGGCUGUGUGUGUUUCUGCAUUUUCCUCUAUGUAUUUAUGUGCAAGUGCAUUUCCAGGUGGUCUUGGGAACAACAAAAGUGAGAAUUUGUGGCUUUGCAGCAGAUAUUGAGCAUGGGACAGUGAAUCCAAAAGUCACUGACACAGCAAUUAGAGCAGCAUUAGGAAACGCUCUGACACCUGACCCAGAAAAUGCAGUACACAUAAGGAAGUAAUGUUCAAGUGGGGAUUUUCGGGGUAUCAUAAGGAGGAUUUGGCCAAAUACAAAAUUCCUGGAUCUUAUAGUGACAGGACCAAUGGCACGGUAUAUUCCAAGCUUGAACUUCUACAGUGGGGAUUUGCCUUUGGCCAGCACUCUCUAUGGAUCAUCAGUGCUUUUUUGGGUUAAACUUGUACCCUUUUACUAAGCCUGAGGACAUUGCCUAUACCAUUAUGCCUAACAUGGCCUACUUUGAGUUUUUGCCUGUCAAGCCUGGAGAUGAUAUUGGCCGGAUAAGGGCAAUGCAAGUGGUGGACCCUGUGGAUUUGGCUCACGUGGAGGACGGAAAAGAGUAUGAGCUCGUGGCGAUCACUUGCUUUGGUAAAAGUUUAUAUAGCUUUCUUCAGUCACAUGGCUGUGUGUGUUUCUGCAUUUUCCUCUAUGUAUUUAUGUGCAAGUGCAUUUCCAGGUGGUCUUGGGAACAACAAAAGUGAGAAUUUGUGGCUUUGCAGCAGAUAUUGAGCAUGGGACAGUGAAUCCAAAAGUCACUGACACAGCAAUUAGAGCAGCAUUAGGAAACGCUCUGACACCUGACCCAGAAAAUGCAGUACACAUAAGGAAGUAAUGUUCAAGUGGGAAUUUUCGGGGUAUCAUAAGGAGGAUUUGGCCAAAUACAAAAUUCCUGGAUCUUAUAGUGACAGGACCAAUGGCACGGUAUAUUCCAAGCUUGAACUUCUACAGUGGGGAUUUGCCUUUGGCCAGCACUCUCUAUGGAUCAUCAAUGCUUUUUUGGGUUAAACUUGUACCCUUUUACUAAGCCUGAGGACAUUGCCUAUACCAUUAUGCCUAACAUGGCCUACUUUGAGUUUUUGCCUGUCAAGCCUGGAGAUGAUAUUGGCCGGAUAAGGGCAAUGCAAGUGGUGGACCCUGUGGAUUUGGCUCACGUGGAGGACGGAAAAGAGUAUGAGCUCGUGGCGAUCACUUGCUUUGGUAAAAGUUUAUAUAGCUUUCUUCAGUCACAUGGCUGUGUGUGUUUCUGCAUUUUCCUCUAUGUAUUUAUGUGCAAGUGCAUUUCCAGGUGGUCUUGGGAACAACAAAAGUGAGAAUUUGUGGCUUUGCAGCAGAUAUUGAGCAUGGGACAGUGAAUCCAAAAGUCACUGACACAGCAAUUAGAGCAGCAUUAGGAAACGCUCUGACACCUGACCCAGAAAAUGCAGUACACAUAAGGAAGUAAUGUUCAAGUGGGGAUUUUCGGGGUAUCAUAAGGAGGAUUUGGCCAAAUACAAAAUUCCUGGAUCUUAUAGUGACAGGACCAAUGGCACGGUAUAUUCCAAGCUUGAACUUCUACAGUGGGGAUUUGCCUUUGGCCAGCACUCUCUAUGGAUCAUCAGUGCUUUUUUGGGUUAAACUUGUACCCUUUUACUAAGCCUGAGGACAUUGCCUAUACCAUUAUGCCUAACAUGGCCUACUUUGAGUUUUUGCCUGUCAAGCCUGGAGAUGAUAUUGGCCGGAUAAGGGCAAUGCAAGUGGUGGACCCUGUGGAUUUGGCUCACGUGGAGGACGGAAAAGAGUAUGAGCUCGUGGCGAUCACUUGCUUUGGUAAAAGUUUAUAUAGCUUUCUUCAGUCACAUGGCUGUGUGUGUUUCUGCAUUUUCCUCUAUGUAUUUAUGUGCAAGUGCAUUUCCAUGUGGUCUUGGGAACAACAAAAGUGAGAAUUUGUGGCUUUGCAGCAGAUAUUGAGCAUGGGACAGUGAAUCCAAAAGUCACUGACACAGCAAUUAGAGCAGCAUUAGGAAACGCUCUGACACCUGACCCAGAAAAUGCAGUACACAUAAGGAAGGAAUGUUCAAGUGGGAAUUUUCGGGGUAUCAUAAGGAGGAUUUGGCCAAAUACAAAAUUCCUGGAUCUUAUAGUGACAGGACCAAUGGCACGGUAUAUUCCAAGCUUGAACUUCUACAGUGGGGAUUUGCCUUUGGCCAGCACUCUCUAUGGAUCAUCAGUGCUUUUUUGGGUUAAACUUGUACCCUUUUACUAAGCCUGAGGACAUUGCCUAUACCAUUAUGCCUAACAUGGCCUACUUUGAGUUUUUGCCUGUCAAGCCUGGAGAUGAUAUUGGCCGGAUAAGGGCAAUGCAAGUGGUGGACCCUGUGGAUUUGGCUCACGUGGAGGACGGAAAAGAGUAUGAGCUCGUGGCGAUUACUUGCUUUGGUAAAAGUUUAUAUAGCUUUCUUCAGUCACAUGGCUGUGUGUGUUUCUGCAUUUUCCUCUAUGUAUUUAUGUGCAAGUGCAUUUCCAUGUGGUCUUGGGAACAACAAAAGUGAGAAUUUGUGGCUUUGCAGCAGAUAUUGAGCAUGGGACAGUGAAUCCAAAAGUCACUGACACAGAAAUUAGAGCAGCAUUAGGAAACGCUCUGACACCUGACCCAGAAAAUGCAGUACACAUAAGGAAGGAAUGUUCAAGUGGGAAUUUUCGGGGUAUCAUAAGGAGGAUUUGCCCAAAUACAAAAUUCCUGGAUCUUAUAGUGACAGGACCAAUGGCACGGUAUAUUCCAAGCUUGAACUUCUACAGUGGGGAUUUGCCUUUGGCCAGCACUCUCUAUGGAUCAUCAGUGCUUUUUUGGGUUAAACUUGUACCCUUUUACUAAGCCUGAGGACAUUGCCUAUACCAUUAUGCCUAACAUGGCCUACUUUGAGUUUUUGCCUGUCAAGCCUGGAGAUGAUAUUGGCCGGAUAAGGGCAAUGCAAGUGGUGGACCCUGUGGAUUUGGCUCACGUGGAGGACGGAAAAGAGUAUGAGCUCGUGGUGACCACUUACUUUGGUUUUUACCAAUGUAAGAUUGGGGACGUACUAAGAGUUGCCAAAUUCUACAACAAAGCUCCCCAAUUCCACAUUGUUGUUCGGAAAAAUGUUUGCCUUAGCAUUGAUAUGGAGAAAACGGAAGAGGCAAAGUUACAUAAGGCCAUAGCGGCAGCUGAACUUGCUCACCUUAGGCCACAUAAUGCAAGAGUUCUUGACUACAUUUGCUAUACUGAUGUUAAGACAAUUCUGGGGCAUUAUGUUAUUUACUGUGAACUUUCUCCAAUCAAUCACAGUGAGAACUCUUCAUUCUCAUGGUAAUCGACCAAUGCUGUCUCACUAUCAGACAGUCACUAAAUUAUGUUUACAGAGUCCUGUGUGCUUACGACAAAACAAUAUGACCAUUGGAGAUCAAACUUGUGAAAGGUGGCACAUCCCAUGAAGUAAUGGACCAUGCUACAGCUAGAGGUGCUUCUGCUGCACAAUACAAGCCUCCUAAGUGUGUCAAAUCUACUUGGAUGCAGGAGAUAUUGUAGGUGAAGGUUGUGUCAACUCAUUUUAGUCCAGGUGUUCCAAGUUGGUCACCAUGACCACAGCAGAAGAUGGCUUCAGCGGAUCAGCUCAACUUUGUGGGAGGAGAUCUACUUGCAUUAUAUUUUGUCUGCACACAACUUUCUGAUGCUUCUAUCUAUGAAUGAACAUGAACAUGAACAUGGAAAUCUCGUAGGGGGCUGCCUCAAUGAUGGUUUGGAAGCACCCUUUUACUCUUUUAAUUUUUUAUUUGGUCUAUUUUAAAAAUUCGAUUUCAUUUCAUAGUAAUAUAUAUAAAUAUAAAUAUCAUUUAAUUUCAAUGAUAUUUGGUGGCCCAUUUUCUGGAUUUUAAAUUUAAUUCUACAUUUUACGAAAAUCCACUUGAAUACCUUACUAUUUUGCCAAUUUUUUAAAUACUAUCAAUAUUAAAAAUUUAUAGUUAACAUUCUCUUAUUAUUUACAUAAAGCCAUUAGUUUAUUGUUUUGAUUUAAAUAAAAUAUUUAUAAUAGUUAUUUUUCCAAAAUUCAUUUCAAUAAAUCCUCAACAUGGUGAAUUUAAUAGUCACUUUAAUUUUUUUUUCAGAACAUUUGGUUUUAUAAACAUAAGAAAACAUAUUUGCAUAUAAAAAGAAUCAAAAGUACAGGCAUCUACAUAUUUUGCAGAAAGGGCCAUUGUGUGCAGAUGUCAUUGGGCAAGGGAAUGCAACGUUAUAGAAAAUUUGUGGUCUUGAUAAAAGGACUUGUUUGACUGUCUUCUUUGAUGUUUCGCCAAGUGAAUGGCCAAGCCCUGCAUCACGAGGUGCAAGCUAGCAAGUGUAUAUUCAGUUUUAGACAAUUCUUAAUUCAGUUACCAGAACCCUGAAGGACAAAUGAGACUCUAUGUGACAACUAUCACAAGAAAGUGGGUGGAUGGUUCUGCUAGUAAAGCGGUUGUGAACUGGGCUUGCAGUGGCAGUGAACUUUGGCAUCACUAUCAUGGACAGGAACUUCAAUAAGUUCAGCUAUUGAUCCAGGGAAGAAAGCUAACUCUGCUUUACAUCCUGAAGCAAGGGGCUUCAAUCAACCUUUCGUGUGGUGUGGUCAGCCAAGGUCAAUGACAAGGAAAGAUCAAGGAAAAUUUGAUCAAGAUAUGCAGACCCAAGCAUGGUAGGAAGCAGAAAAUUUGAUGGUUUUUAUUUAGUGUCUAUGCAUGUGAUGUCCGAACCAGCUGUUUGUUGCCAUCUUAGCUUUCGAGGUAAGCUUCCUCUCCUGCCUCUUUUGCCUCUGAUGUAAUGAAGUUAAAGAAGUGAGAAGCAGCAGAUGCAUAACCGGUAAUAUUUCCAUGAAGUUUGAUUUGUCUUGGACAUUUUAGUUUUUAAUUCAUUUAAAGUUAAAUUUUUAAAAUUUUGCAUGUGGACCCUUCACCAGCAAGAAUUUUUAGACUUUGUUAUAAUUUUUCUUUUUUAUAGGCUCCACUAUUGAUCUUUUUUCUCUUACUAUCUUGUAUUGGAUAUCAUUAUUUGGUUUUCCUUUUUUUUCUAAUUCUCAUUCCGCAGUCAAAAUAAUGGCAAAAAUGUCAAGCAUUUAUUAACUGAUGAAAUGGGUUUCCUACUCUCAAAGGGAAAUGUAGCUUACUUCUUGUUGCCUUUUCUUGAGCGGUUGUCAUUUUUCUUUUUUGUUAAUGAGUUAUAGGUGUCUAUCUUUGUAUCCAAUAUACAUACUGAUUGUAAAGAUCAAAUUGUGCUCCAGCUGCCCAUAUCCUUGUGGACUUGUGAAGUUCUCAUACAAAAAGGUUUACUGCAUAGAUUGGAUUUUUCCAAGAUUGUCAAGGAUGGAUUUAUCAAAAGGACCCAGGUAAAAAUGGAACGCUGGGAGUGCAAUCUCUGAGGAACAACAUAAUGGUGUCAACCCUCAGCAUACACAGGAAUGAUGCUGAGCUCAUUGACUGUCGUCCUCAUGAUAAGUAAUUGGUCUAUCAUUCUGGUCAGUUGCAGAAAUGGUUCCUUCCCAUGAGGGCACCAGAAGAUUGACAGUGUCAAUCAAGUUCUCCAUUUGGGAAAGACCCGAUCCGUGGCCAUUUCCUCCUAUCAUCUCAAGAGUCAGAUACCAGGCUAAACUCAAGGAUGCAUUAAUUCAUAAGCAUAUUGUGUCACAUAAGCACCAUUCUCCCCACAUGUUUAUCAAUCACCAACUAGUGGGGAGAACAUGAUUGGUGUUAGAUAUAGAUCUGCAAGUAGCAAAUGUUUUAUGCUGAUUAUGUUUGUCCUUAUUUUGUUUUCUUUGUUUCAGAUGAAGAUUAUAAUAUUAUAUGUAUAGUAGUAAUUGGUUACUCUUGCAUGACGAUGUAAACCAACAUAUACAUAGAGGCCUGUUGCUACUGGAAAUCUUAAGUUGACAUUAACAAGCACAUUGAAGAGAUACAUGGAAGCUCAUAUGAGCAGAUACAGGUUAUUUCUUGGUGUAGGUUGGAAAGCUGUCUCCUUACAAUCCAGGGUCCAGCAUGUUUGGUUAUAUUAGUACCUGUCCAGGUUAUCCUAUUUCUAUUCAUCAUAAUCAAAGGCCCCAGACGAGUAUUCAACUGAUGCCUCCCUUUAUAAAGAAGAUGGAGCACUGGAGGUACUUAAAUCUCUUUGUGCAUGUAAUUUGGGCGUUUCAUUUGCUUAUUGAGUAUGCUUCACGUACUAGAUAGAGUUCAGGUCGCUAGUUGAUGUCACAUUCUCAACCGUGAGAACGGGAAUAAUUUACCAAUAUGUGCUGCUGGUGAAAUGAUUCGUGUUGGAGUUCCAUCAAGUAUCCAAGAAGGGGAUUUAGUUAUUUAUUUAGGCGCUCCUGUUGAUGACACUUGUAUGUGACCAAUAUCUUACAAAUUUAGGAACCACGUUAAAGUUCUUAAACUGUAUGCUAUGUGUGAACUUGCACACAUGACUAUGUUCAGAAUUUGGUGAUUAGUAUAUUUAAUGUGACACUAAAUUUCUUUUAUGCUAAGAGAUGUUUUAGGGUAUCGAACUCUUCAUGACCUCCUUCAACUUAAUAAUUUGUUUCAUGACUGAGCAGAGGAGGGCAGCUGUGAGGUUUCAAUGGUCAUUGUAGGUGGGCAGGCAUGAAAGCGGAAAAGGAUGAAGGAGCUAAAGCUAGAGCUAAUUACAUGAUGAAAUUAUAAUUUUUUUUGUAUAGUUUGUUUAAUUGUAAUGAUUUUUUUCAUCAAGUAAACAUUUUAUUAUCAAUUUCAUCAUUUUUUUUAA